UCAAGUCCCCACCACACACCCCAUUACAGUCACUGUCCAUCAGUGUAGUAAGAUGCUAUAGAGUCACUACUUGUCUUCUCUGUGCUAUACUGCCUUCCCUGUGACCCCCCUACGUUAUGUUUGCUAAUCAUAAUGCCCCCUUUUGCCCUUCUCCCUCCCUUCCCACCGCACCCCCCAGUCCCUUUCCCUUUGGCAACUGUUAGUCCAUUCUUGCUUUUACCCAUAUUCUUAAUGAUCAGAGAGGUCUGCAGUUAGAGCAACCAUCUGACUAGCUAAUCUCCUACAACAUCUGGUAAACUCCAGGAGCAGAAAUACACUGGGAUGUUUGCAGUGACUGAGUAGGGUCCUGGGAGCAGCACAAGGGGAUCCAGACCGAAGCCACCUUUGACCUCUCUGCACAGGUUCGGUUCUGUGGCUCCAGAUGGCCAGUACCACUCCCUUAUUAAGAACAAGAGUGCACGGAUCAAUGCAAUGCUGGCAGUGCUGACCCUUUGCGAUUAGCUGUGACUUUCCAAGGAACCUCAGGAUGUCUUGGGGACCUCAAGAAGAGAGGAAUUCACCCAAAUCUACAGAAGCCACAAAACUACAAAUAGUAAUAGAAAUGGAACCUGGAAUAGAAGUGCCCAUCUUCCCAGGCCCUCUCAACUGACCAGUGAUGGAGACCUAGCUGCACCCUUUACUGUGCCUCUUCUCAGCAUGAAGCAGCCAGAGCGGUCAUUGCCCCCUUUCCCUAGCAGCAGCUAGAGUCUCUAUCUGUAGAGGGGGAAUGAGACAGGAACUGUGGGCUUAGACAGAGUAGGGUGAGGGCCUCUGGAAAAAGCAAGGCAAGAUAUUUACAGUCAAAGCAAUGUAACAGUGUAAAGUCCAUAUAGAAACUCUGUGUUCAGCAUUAUGCAAAGUCAAGGUCACACUAAUUCUCUAGGGUAAAUAUACUAGACUAGGAAUAUUAGACAUCUUCAGUGAGAUCAGUUAAAGGUCAAAAUGCCAGAAGCAACUUGGCCUGGAAUGAUUGAGUGUUCUGCAAGGGUAUCUUAGCAUAACCGUGACUUCACUGUAAACAGCCCUAAGAAACAAACAACCCAGCCCACCUUGAGGGCAGGGCAGGUGGUGUAAGUCCACACCCUGAGCCCUCAAUCCCCAAAAAUCCUCAACUGCCUAUAAAUCCCCUAGACAAUGCACCACCCCGGGCUCUCUUGUCCCCUCCUGGAGUAAGCCAGAAGCUCUGUCUGCUCACUGUCACCCUCAAUAAGUGUCCCUGGCUCUCCUAAAAAAAAACAAAACAAAACACAUUCAAGGAUGUUGAGGGUGUUUGCAAAAUUAAGAGAUGGUCAUAGCACAAAAGCAGAGGAUGAAGAUAAAUGCAGUAGUGAGGUUACCCAACCCAAGUAGUAGAAACUGAAUUAUUAUUCUGGAAUGAAAAUCUACCCGGCUGGGAGACAUGGCCUGAGCAUGAGUAAAUGAGAACAUGUCUCUGGAAGGGAGAGGAAAGCAGAAUGGCUCUUUAAUCAACUAAAUAUCUCUCAAAAUGUGUGUUUCCUAAAUUAAGCAUUUCCUGAAAUGUGCAUUUCCCAAAUUGUGAAUCUCAAAGAGAUUCUCACAGUUCAUGUUGCAAUGAAAGGCUCCGAGACCAGCAGCAAAGGAAAACUAACCUCAUUUAAUCCAGAUUUGGUCAAACUUUUCACCUUGCAAUAUAUUUUUCAUGGAACGCCUAUUACCACCUCCCAGGAAGGUGGGGAAAAUGUUGAAUUAAGAAACCAGUGCUUAAUUUCAUAGUGUCAGUUAUUACUAGGUGAUCAGUAAAUGCUUAGUUUUGAAUUUUUUAGAAGUGAUUUUCUAAUAGCAAAUCAUUAUUUGUUAAGUUUUUUUUCAAAAAGUGGAUUUAAAAAAGUGAAGUAGCCAUGACCUUCAAAAUCAUGACAAAACCCUAGAAUUAGGAAGAUUGUGGCUUUUUCAACAUCUACUAAAAAUAAUUAAAGAAAUCUCUACCAUUUCAUGGCCUACCCAAUCCUGGGAUGAAUUAUUCCCUCUAGUUCCACAGCACAUAGUUCCUCUGAAGCUGUUAAUUCUGCUUAGAUGCCUUUUGAGUGUGAAUGAAAUUUAAUUAUCUCAUUUUCUUCAAUAGCAGAGAGUGGAUUAAUUGUUUAAGGGAAAACAUGGCUUGUUACAUGGGUAGAAAUGUUCAGAAUCCCUGGUGUGCUGAAGAUAUGACCAUCAAGGGGGAAGCUUGAACUACAUGGCACAUGAAAGUGUGUAUUUACAAAAAGGAGAGAGCUAAUUAUCCCUAUAACACUAUUUUUCGGUUUACAUAGAAAUUCAUUUGGUCUUGUGUUCAUCAACCAAACUGCAGUUCAAAUUUGGCUUCACCACUUACUGGCUAUGUAACCAUAGGCGAGUCUCUGAACUUCAGAUUCUUCUUUGUGAAAUGGCAUUAGGAGUUUGGAGUACUAGAAUAAAGUCUUCCUCAUUUUAGCACUUAGACAUCUUCAGGAUGAUUAUCGUUCACCAUCAUGCCACCCUAAAGCAAAGCUUCCUAGCAGACACACUCAACUCCAUCCCAUUCAUUCUAAAGGAGAGAAAUCCAGCCAGAAAAAAAACCUGCUAACAAUAAACACAUGAAAUACUCAGUCACUUCAUCCUUCUCCUUAAACAGAAAUGCAAAACUAAGGGUCACCAGGCAUACAAGGAGAACUGCAGCGUUAAAAUGAAAGACCAGAAGAAACAAAACUGACCCAGAAAAAAAAAAGAAUUAGAAAAUAGAAGACAUUAAAAGCACUCUAAUUAAUAUGCUGGGGGAAUUUGGGGUGGGGGAUAAAUAUUACAUCCUUAAAAUUAGAACAAAAUGCUAGGAAAAAGAAACAAUUAGAGAAUAAAAGUGCAGAUUAAAAAAAUAAAGCUGGUUGAAAAACUUGUUUUAAUUAAAGAAGGAGUAGAAAGCAAACCCAAAGACUCUCUACUCUCCUAAAAUGUGGGGAGCAAAGAAACUGAGACCUUGGAGAGAACCCAUAGACAAAGAAGUCUAGACACUAGAUCAGUCUAGGGGGUCUCACAUACAAGAUUGGAGAUGAAAAAAUUGUCAAAAAAAUUUCCAAAGGUGAAGGACAAAAUUCUUCAGAA